rnacentral:rRNA from 1 species
UGGGGAAUAUUGGACAAUGGGGGGAACCCUGAUCCAGCCAUGCCGCGUGUGUGAAGAAGGCCUUAUGGUUGUAAAGCACUUUAAGCGAGGAGGAGGGUACUGGUAUUAAUACUACCAGCUACUGGACGUUACUCGCAGAAUAAGCACCGGCUAACUCUGUGCCAGCAGCCGCGGUAAUACAGAGGGUGCAAGCGUUAAUCGGAAUUACUGGGCGUAAAGCGCGCGUAGGUGGUUCGUUAAGUUGAAUGUGAAAGCCCCGGGCUCAACCGGGGAACUGCAUCCAAAAAUGGCGUGCUAGAGUAGGGCAGAGGGUGGUGGAAUUUCCUGUGUAGCGGAGAAAUGCGUAGAUAUAGGAAGGAACACCAGUGGCGAAGGCGAGCACCUGGGCUCAUACUGACACUGAGGUGCGAAAGCGUGGGGAGCAAACAGG